GCUGCUCCAGGCCAGCUCUCGAGCCGCGUUUCCAGUCCCGCGGACAGGACGGAGCUUGUGCGCGGCCCGCUGACUUCACUUACCCGCGCUCUGUCCCUCUCCCUCCCCGCGGUCCGCCUGCUGCCGCGCCGUCCCCGAGCCCAGUUUGGUCGCCGCCGUCGGGUCGCGGCUCCUGAGAUUCUGCACUCGCCAUCAGGAGUCUAGCACACAGCCCUCUUGCUAUCACUUGCAACAUCUCACUGGAUAUGUUCUGAAGGACUCACCCCAAAGGCCUUCGGCUUUACAGUCUGUUCUGAACUCUCAACGCAAACAUUUUCAAUACAUUCUCAUUUUUCGAUAUGGUCAUGUCUUCCUGUCACGGGGAGAUUCUAUGCACUGUGAUGCAUUAUAGGUGGUCUGCCCAACUUUCUAAUCACAAAGGACGGAAAACAGCAGGGUUCUGUGCAGCAGAGGCCAGAAAAAUCCUGGACGCUAAAUCCGAUCACGGAAGAGAGAACUCAGCAGGUGAAGGCACUUGCAGUGAAAGCUGAGGAGCCGAGUUUAAUUGGCAGAGAACGUUCCCCAUCUACAAAAAUGUUUGAAUGAAAGCUCAACCCAAAGCUACAUUUGAAAUUGUUGAAGUCAUUAGCUGAAGAAUGAAGUAGACCCCUUUGUGGAGUUCCCAAAUUAUCUUUGAAAUAAGAGGUAGGUUUCAAAGACUGAUUCUGAUGUUUGCUGACAGAACCACAUGGCUCCUCACUAGUAACUUGCCUAACCUGAGAGUUUUUGUGAGCCAUUUCUUGUUCCUGAUCUCUCCUGGGAGUAAAGCUUUUGCUGUUGUCAGCUGUCAGAAAUGGGUCAUGCCUGUUAUAACAGGUUCCCAGGAUGUCACCGUCCUCUACAAGUUCCCUUUCUUCUGGGAAGUACAAACUGUCAAAGCCACAAUCUCCACGAGGUCCAUGGAUGAGUUCCUGGAAUGAAUAGUUUAUGUUCUGCUCUGGUGAAAAGUCUCGGUUAUGAUGAGGAAACAAAGCUGAAAGAAAUCAAGACAGAAACUUAUUCCACUCACUAGACUCUGAAGAAUGCUCUUACAAAUCUAGAUUAGCACAUCAGCCAACAGUGUGCAUAGUGGAAAAUCUGAGGCCUUGACUGCUCCUUUAACACUGAC
rnacentral:lncRNA from 1 species